rnacentral:rRNA from 1 species
UAGGGAAUCUUCCGCAAUGGACGAAAGUCUGACGGAGCAACGCCGCGUGAGUGAUGAAGGCUUUCGGGUCGUAAAACUCUGUUGUUAGGGAAGAACAAGUGCUAGUUGAAUAAGCUGGCACCUUGACGGUACCUAACCAGAAAGCCACGGCUAACUACGUGCCAGCAGCCGCGGUAAUACGUAGGUGGCAAGCGUUAUCCGGAAUUAUUGGGCGUAAAGCGCGCGCAGGUGGUUUCUUAAGUCUGAUGUGAAAGCCCACGGCUCAACCGUGGAGGGUCAUUGGAAACUGGGAGACUUGAGUGCAGAAGAGGAAAGUGGAAUUCCAUGUGUAGCGGUGAAAUGCGUAGAGAUAUGGAGGAACACCAGUGGCGAAGGCGACUUUCUGGUCUGUAACUGACACUGAGGCGCGAAAGCGUGGGGAGCAAACAGGAUUAGAUACCCUGGUAGUCCACGCCGUAAACGAUGAGUGCUAAGUGUUAGAGGGUUUCCG